CGCUGGCGGCACGCCUAACACAUGCAAGUCGAACGAAGUAGCAAUACUUAGUGGCAGACGGGUGAGUAACAUGUAGGUAUCUGCCCUUUGGCCUGGAAUAACACGAGGAAACUUGUGCUAAUACCGGAUAAGUCUUUACGGAGAAAGCUUUAUGCACCAUUGGAUGAGCCUGCACUUGAUUAGUUUGUUGGUGGGGUAAUGGCCUACCAAGACUGUGAUCAAUAGCUGAUUUGAGAGGAUGAUCAGCCACAUUGGGACUGAGACACGGCCCAAACUCCUACGGGAGGCAGCAGUGGGGAAUCUUGCACAAUGGAGGAAACUCUGAUGCAGCGAUGCCGCGUGAGUGAAGAAGGCCCUUGGGUUGUAAAGCUCUUUCGUCGGGGAAGAAAAUGACUGUACCCGAAUAAGAAGGUCCGGCUAACUUCGUGCCAGCAGCCGCGGUAAUACGAAGGGACCUAGCGUAGUUCGGAAUUACUGGGCUUAAAGAGUUCGUAGGUGGUUGAAAUAGUUGGUGGUGAAAUCCCAGAGCUUAACUCUGGAACUGCCAUCAAAACUUUUCAGCUAGAGUAUGAUAGAGGAAAGCAGAAUUUCUAGUGUAGAGGUGAAAUUCGUAGAUAUUAGAAAGAAUACCAAUUGCGAAGGCAGCUUUCUGGAUCAUUACUGACACUGAGGAACGAAAGCAUGGGUAGCGAAGAGGAUUAGAUACCCUCGUAGUCCAUGCCGUAAACGAUGUGUGUUAGACGUUGGAAAUUUAUUUUCAGUGUCGCAGCGAAAGCGAUAAACACACCGCCUGGGGAGUACGA
rnacentral:rRNA from 1 species